rnacentral:rRNA from 1 species
UACGUAGGGUGCAAGCGUUAAUCGGAAUUACUGGGCGUAAAGCGUGCGCAGGCGGUUAUGCAAGACAGAUGUGAAAUCCCCGGGCUCAACCUGGGAACUGCAUUUGUGACUGCAUAGCUAGAGUACGGUAGAGGGGGAUGGAAUUCCACGUGUAGCAGUGAAAUGCGUAGAUAUGUGGGGGAAUACCGAUGGCGAAGGCAAUCCCCUGGACCUGUACUGACGCUCAUGCACGAAAGCGUGGGGAGCAAACAGG